ACACGACUACAUUAGAUACCCCCGUAGUCCCAGCCCUAAACGAUGCGCGUUAGGUGUAUCGGUGACCACGAGUCACCGAGGUGCCGAAGGGAAACCGUGAAACGUGCCGCCUGGGAAGUACGGUCGCAAGGCUGAAACUUAAAGGAAUUGGCGGGGAGCACCACAAGAGGUGGAGGCUGCGGUUCAAUUGGACUCAACGCCGGAAAACUCAUCGGGAGCGACAGCAGUAUGAUUGCCAGGUUGAUGACCUUGCUUGACAAGCUG
rnacentral:rRNA from 1 species